AGUGAACGCUGGCGGUAGGCCUAACACAUGCAAGUCGAACGGCAGCACAGUAAGAGCUUGCUCUUACGGGUGGCGAGUGGCGGACGGGUGAGGAAUACAUCGGAAUCUACUUUUUCGUGGGGGAUAACGUAGGGAAACUUACGCUAAUACCGCAUACGCCCUACGGGUGAAAGCAGGGGAUCUUCGGACCUUGCGCGAUUGAAUGCGCCGAUGUCGGAUUCGCUAGUUGGCGGGGUAAAGGCCCACCAAGGCGACGAUCCGUAGCUGGUGUGAGAGGAUGGUCAGCCACACGGGAACUGGGACACGGUCCAGAGUCCUACGGGAGGCAGCAGUGGGGAAUGUUGGACAAUGGGCGCAAACCUGAUCCAGCCAUACCGCGUGUGAGAAGGAGGCCUUCGGGUUGUAAAGCCCUUUUGUGGGGAAAGAAAAGCAGCAGGUUAAUACCCCGCUGUUCUGACGGUACCCAAAGAAUAAGCACCGGCUAACUUCGUG
rnacentral:rRNA from 1 species